UACGGGGGGAGCAAGCGUUGUUCGGAUUUACUGGGCGUAAAGGGCGCGUAGGCGGUCAGCACAAGUCAGUUGUGAAAUCUCCGGGCUUAACUCGGAAAGGUCAACUGAUACUGUGCGACUAGAGUGCAGAAGGGGCAACUGGAAUUCUCGGUGUAGCGGUGAAAUGCGUAGAUAUCGAGAGGAACACCUGCGGCGAAGGCGGGGUGCUGGGCUGAUACUGACGCUGAGGCGCGAAAGCCAGGGGAGCGAACGGG
rnacentral:rRNA from 1 species